UGCGGGGUAGAGCAGUGGUAGCUCGUCGGGCUCAUAACCCGAAGGUCGCAGGUUCGACUCCUGUCCCCGCUACUA
rnacentral:tRNA from 1 species